ACCAAACAGCUAGCUUAAUUAUUAUACUAACAAAAAAUAUUAAUAAUAAACAACUAACCUCCAACCAAUAAAUUAAAUCAUUGCUAAUAUCCUAGUAUGGGCGACAGAAAUGCUUCAACAAAGCAAUACGAAAAGUACCGCCCAGGAAAGCAUGAAGAGAACUGAAAUAAGUCAUAUAAGUAUUAAAAUGCAGCGCUUUACCGUCGUACCUUUUAGCAACAUGAAUUAGCCCGUAUAUUAACGCAAAGACACCUUUAGUCCUACGCGCCGAAUCCAGCUGAGCUGCCCCGUGACAGCCUAUUCAUUUCUGGCAAACCCAACUCUGCUGCAAAAGAGUGAGAAGUGCAUCCGGCUAGAAGUGUCAGACCUACCGAACCAGGUGAUAGCUGUUGUCUAAGAAAAUGAAUAGAAGUUCAGCCUCCUAACGUCCCAAAUCUAAAAUUUGAAACUAAAAUUUAGAGCAUCAUACGACAGUUAGUGCAAACGGGUUCAGCCAGUUUUACACAGGAUACAACCUUUAAAGGAGAAUAAAGAUCAUUAUAAUCAAAGCAUAAUGACGUAGUCGGCCCUAGAGCCGCCGUCUUAAUAAAACGCGUUUAAGCUUACACAAACACUGUUCAUGAUACUGUUAAAAAUUCAUACUUGCCUUUAAGUACUAGAGCAAUCCAUGGACCCUUGGAUGAAACUCUGCUAAUAUGACUAACACGAAGAUCACAUCCUUCUGCCCGCUUGAGUGUAAGUUAGAUUGGACCAACCACUAACAAUUAACGAACCCAAUAAAAGAGGGAAUUGUGAAUAUUAAACUAAAUAAGAUCUCACAACUGAUAAUCGUUAUCCCGACACUGGUCUGCAUAACAAGCAAAUACUAAAAGAAAGGGAAGGCGCUCGCCAAACACAAGCCUCGCCUGUUUACCAAAAACACCGCCUCCUGCAAAAAGAAAUAUUGGAGGUACAGCCUGCCCACUGACAUCAAGUUCAACGGCCGCGGUAUUCUUACCGUGCCAAGGUAGCGCAAUCACUCGUCCAGGUAAAUAAGGUCCUGUAUGAAUGGCUAGACCAGGAUUUUACUGUCUCCCCCUGUCAGGUCAGUGAAAUUGAUCUAUCCGUGCAGAAGCGGAUAUAAUUAUACAAGACGAGAAGGUCCAUUGGAGCUAGGUACACAGACUUAAUUACGUUGCAUGUUCUCAUCAGUGCACAUAACAUAGUAAAAAUAAAGCUUUAGCUUCGGAUGGGGAGACCAUGGAGGAAUCGAAAGCCUCCAAGUGGAUUGGGUUCAUCCCAGAAACUAAGAAAAACACUUCUAGGUCACAGAACUUCUGAGCAAUAAUGCGCGGGCUUAUAUGUCGACCAACGUACCAAGUUACCCUAGGCGUAACAGCGUCAUCCGCUCCCAGUGUCCAAAUCGACGUGGGCGCUUAAUGCCUCGAAGUUGGUUCAGCACAUCGUAAUGGUGCAGCCGCUAUUAAGGGUUCGUUUGUUCAACGAUUAAAGUCCUACGCGUUCUGAGAUCAGACCGGUGUCAUCCUGGGCAGAUUCCAUUUGUAAAGCUUCUUUUCCUCAAUACGAAUGGUUCGGAAAAGAGGGAUCCAUACCAUAAGCACGCCCGUCCCGUAAUUAAUCUAAACAGAUAAUUUAACAUAAGGGAGGGCCAAAACCCCAACCAUCCGAAAUAAGGACAU
rnacentral:rRNA from 1 species